GUCUAUUUGAAGAUAUAAAUAGUCUGGCCUGCUCACUGAUAUAAAUAUAUUGAAGAGCCGCGGUAUUUUGAUUGUGCAAAGGUAGCUUAAUAAUUAGUUUUUUAAUUGAAAGCUUGUAUGAAUGGUCGGACAAAAGAAAGACUGUCUUCUGUUAUAGUAGUAGAAUUUAACUUUUAAGUGAAAAGGCUUAAAUUAUUCAGUGGGACGAUAAGACCCUAUAAAACUUUAUAUGUUAUUUAAAUUUAAUUGAAUUAUGAUUUAUAAAUUUUAAAUUUAGAGUAAUUUAUUUUGCUGGGACGGCAUAAGUAUAAAUUAUAUUAACUGCUUAGUAAUAAUACAAUAGUAGUUGAAUUAUUAUUAGAUGAUCCUUUUUAAAGAUUUAAGAACAAGUUACUUUAGGGAUAAGAGCGUUAUUUUUUUUUUAGAGUUCUUAUCGAAAAAAAAGUUUGCGACCUCGAUGUUGAAUUAAAUUGUCUACAUGGUGCAGUAGCUGUGUAAGAAGGUCUGUUCGACCUUUAAAUUUUU
rnacentral:rRNA from 1 species